rnacentral:rRNA from 1 species
GAUGAACGCUGGCGGCGUGCUUAAUACAUGCAAGUCGAACGGAGAAUUGUAGCAAUAUAGUUCUCAGUGGCGAACGGGUGAGUAACACGUUGGUGACCUGCCCCGAAGAGUGGGAUAACAGUCCGAAAGGAUUGCUAAUACCGCAUGUGGUCAUUGGAAUUGGAAACCGAUGAUUAAAGGAGAAAUUCGCUUCGGGAGGGACCUGCGUCCCAUCAGCUAGUUGGAGAGGUAACGGCUCACCAAGGCGACGACGGGUAAGGGACCUGAGAGGGUGGUCCCUCACAAUGGCACUGAAACACGGGCCAUAUACCUACGGGAGGCAGCAGUGGGGAAUCUUAGACAAUGGGCGCAAGCCUGACCCAGCAACGCCGCGUGCACGAUGAAGGCCUUCGGGUCGUAAAGUGCUUUUUUGGGAGAUGAGCAAGGACAGUAUCCCGAGAAUAAGUCUCGGCUAACUACGUGCCAGCAGCCGCGGUAACAC